rnacentral:rRNA from 1 species
AUGAGUGUCCUAGCUUGGAACUGCCGCGGCGCUGGCAAACCGGCGACAGUUCGAGAGCUUCGCGAUAUGGCGAGGCAGUUUGCCCCCUCGAUUCUCUGCAUCUUAGAAACCCAGAUCGAGGGAUCUCGAGUAGAGAGUUUGUCUAGUACUUUAAAUUUUGAUAAUAGUUUUGCAGUUAGUAGCACUGGUAGGAGUGGUGGUCUUGGCAUUUUUUGGAAUAAUUCAAUAAAGGUAGAAAUUGUUGGUUACUCGGAGUAUCAUAUUGAUGUGUUGGUUGAUGAUCUAGUUGACACUAGAACACGGGUGACGUUUGUUUAUGGAGAAGCGCAGGUUCCGGAGAGGUACAAAACUUGGGACAUGCUCCGAGGCAUUGCAAGCAAUAGCAAUCUCCCCUGA